rnacentral:rRNA from 1 species
GGGUUGUGAGGUUAAGCGACUAAGCGUACACGGUGGAUGCCCUGGCAGUCAGAGGCGAUGAAGGGCGUGCUAAUCUGCGAUAAGCGCCGGUAAGGUGAUAUGAACCGUUAUAACCGGCGAUACCCGAAUGGGGAAACCCAGUGUGAUUCGUCACACUAUCAUUAACUGAAUCCAUAGGUUAAUGAGGCGAACCGGGGGAACUGAAACAUCUAAGUACCCCGAGGAAAAGAAAUCAACCGAGAUUCCCCCAGUAGCGGCGAGCGAACGGGGAGGAGCCCAGAGCCUGAAUCAGCAUGUGUGUUAGUGGAAGCGUCUGGAAAGGCGCGCGAUACAGGGUGACAGCCCCGUACACAAAAGCGCAUAUGCUGUGAGCUCGAUGAGUAGGGCGGGACACGUGGUAUCCUGUCUGAAUAUGGGGGGACCAUCCUCCAAGGCUAAAUACUCCUGACUGACCGAUAGUGAACCAGUACCGUGAGGGAAAGGCGAAAAGAACCCCGGCGAGGGGAGUGAAAAAGAACCUGAAACCGUGUACGUACAAGCAGUGGGAGCCCCACCACUAAGCCAGUGGUGAACUCCACAUACGCAUCCUUUGCUGAGGAUACGGUUAACGGAGCGAAAGCGACGUUCAACCUCAAAAGAAGCAGAGGGGGCUUAGUGGUGGGGUGACUGCGUACCUUUUGUAUAAUGGGUCAGCGACUUAUAUUCUGUAGCAAGGUUAACCGAAUAGGGGAGCCGGAGGGAAACCGAGUCUUAAUUGGGCGUUAAGUUGCAGGGUAUAGACCCGAAACCCGGUGAUCUAGCCAUGGGCAGGUUGAAGGUUGGGUAACACUAACUGGAGGACCGAACCGACUAAUGUUGAAAAAUUAGCGGAUGA